rnacentral:sRNA from 1 species
AUUGAAAUGGCCAAACACUUUUGGUUGUUUUCCUAUUGUAACCAGCAUUUUGUGAAGGCAAAAAAAUAUGUACACAAAUUUUGUAUAGUUAUUAUAUAUAUAUACAUGUAUAUGUGCAUUCAUUCUUACGCAAAUCUCUUGAUCUCCCAAGGUUUUACACAAAAUGUCACAGCAAUUUGUUAUUCAUGCAUUAUUAUACUUGUUAACUGUUUUAUAAAGGAUAAGAAUUUUAGGAGGGAUGUAUUCAUAGAUAUUACAAAAUCAUUGGUUAAUGAUAAUUUAUACAACUUCUGACAAUUUAAAGUGUUUUUAAGAACUUCAUCUUUCGGGGCUAUUAUAAGGGGAAGGGAGUUAUUAAAGAGGAAAAUGAUAUAAAAGUAGAUUUUCCAAAAUGAUUGUCUUCAUUUUAGACUGUUAUGCAGUGAAAUACAUGUAUUUGUUAUAAUUCACAAUUAUAAUGGACAAUACAAUGUGGGGUUUGAAGAAGCCUGAUGUACUUGUGUUGCGCAAGCUUCAUUGUGAAGGUUGAGUGAGGAAGAAAGAGAGAGAGAGUAAGAGACACAUUUGUUAAGGUGUUGAUGAAGCAACUUCUGUUUAUAUGGAGUCUAGUCACUGGAACAUGAUGUAAUUUGUUUUUGCAUAAUUUGCUAAUAAAUAAACUUGUUUUU